rnacentral:lncRNA from 1 species
GAGUGAGCAGGACGUUUAGAAUCCGGAGGAGGAGGUUUCUCAGGACGUUUAGAAUCCGGAGGAGGAGGUGUUUCAGGACUUUUUGAAACUUGUGGAGGAGGAGGAAGACUUUCUGAAUCUCGUGGAGGAGGAGGUGAACGAGCAGGACGUACUGGGUCUCGCGGAGGAGGAGGUGAACGAGCAGGACGUAGUGUAUCUCGUGGAGGAGGAGGUGAACGAGAAGGAGGAAGUUCUGAGGCUGGUGGGGAAGGGGAAGGACGUGGAGGAGGAAAUGAUGGCGGAUGUGGAGGUGAAGAAUGUAAUGGUGGGUCUAAUGUAGGUGGUGGAGGUGGAUAUUUUGGUGGGUCUAAUGCAGGUGGUGGAGGAGAGCUUUCCGGUGGCUGAACUGAUGGUCUUGAAGGUGGUGAAACGGCGGGGGGAUCAAGUUUUGGAGGAGGAGGGGGAGAGCUCACAGGUGGUGGUGGGUCGGGUAAUGUAGGAGUAGGAAUAGGAGGAGGAGCUCCGAUCGGUGGAGGUGGUGUGGGAGAAGGUUGUGGUGGUGGUGAUGAUAAAGGAGUCGCCGGAGGAGGGGGAGA